AAAGAGUUAGGGUUUAGAGGCGAUGAUGGGGUUUAGAUUCAUUCAAAUAAAAUGAUCAAAUCGUCUGAGAAGAUAAGGUUAGCAUGCAAGGUUCCGACGGUAGCUAUGACGAAGAACCAGGAGCCGGCAAAAAUAGAAACAUAUUACGGCAAAGGCUAGGGUUAUGGCGAAGAUCCGGCGAACUCCGGUGAGAAAUUUAGAGGCAAUGGCCUCCCCUAUCGAUUGCCUCUUUCCGACGAAGAUGUGGUAGCCGGCGGCAAAUAUGGGAUGGUGGUUCGGUAAUACAUCCUAAUGCUUAAGAAGCGGUUUCAACGAGGUUUGAAGGCUUGCCGCAAUGUCCCAGCGUUGGUCGCUGGACGUUUGAUGGGUGGUCUUUCUCCAGUAAUGUGUAUAUGAAGUAUUUUGUAGUUUCAAGAUGUGCUCAAACAUAUACACUUUUCCCAGACACGCAUCACUGUUAUCAUCACCACCAGAUAUCCUCGCCUUGCGUUCAUUGACUCCUCCCAACCUUCGUCAGUUUGCUUCUUCUUACAUUGCGUUCUCCUAGCGUGGCAGACAUGUGGAAACAAUGUCUCCUCCGUUAAUAAGGGCAUGCAAGACGAUCAAAAAAGUUGAACAAGUUGAAUGGUUAGUACUUUUAGUACUUUACAUCACUGCUUCCAAGUUAGUCUACUUUUAUAUUCAUUUAACUUUACAUAUUCACAUUACUUGGAUAUCAUAGACAUUGAAUGACAGUUGCUUGUACAAACUACUUUGGAGCUUUCAUAACAGUUAUUUUUCAUGCCAGUUUUUGAAUGAUUUUUCUUAAAUAUACAU
rnacentral:lncRNA from 1 species